AUUGACACAUGUCUUCAUCACCAGGACCCCUCUGCUGGAGCGGAGGAUGACCCAGAUGACGACCCAAAGGAUACCACGGCCGAACCAUCAACAGGAGGACCCCUCUGUUUUAGCGGAGGAUGACCCGGAUGACAACGCCAAGGAUACCACGGCCGGACCAUCAACUGGAGGACCCCUCUGCUGGAGUGGAGGAUGACCUGGACGAAGGCGCCAAGGAUAACACGGCCGGAUCAUCAACAGGAGGACCCCUCUGCUGGAGCGGAGGAUGACCCGGAUGACGACGCCAAGGAUACCGCGGCCAGACCAUCAACAGGAGGACCCCUCUGCUGGAGUGGAGGAUGAAAUGGACGACGAUCCAAAGGACACCACGGCCAGACCAUCAACAGGAGGUAUUUGUCUGUGAAGUAAUUUGUCUUUCAAGGCUCAUUAGCUCAAUAAAAUGUUUGUAAAAUCUUGUUACGGUAAAGACGUUAACAUAUUGUCUCAAUUGCAAUAUAGAAUACAUACUCAGUUUUUAAAAGACAAUAAAUUGCUAUAUGUAAUUAUCAGUGGAUGAGGGGGCCAGCGGCAGGACCUUCUCUUUUCCUUUCCCCUGUUGUUUGUGCCUGUCUCGUCUUAAUUUGUUCCUACUUUUAAUAGUCAUUAUUGCAUUGA